UGAUUGGUGCGCUUCAUAGCACACUGUCCGGGGGAGUGGCUGGGUUGUCAAGGCAACCCGGCACAACUGCUAAUGUGCUGUGUUAUCCCGGACUAAUUGAUAUUUUGAUUGCUCAGCUGAGAGGAGUUGUUUGGCGCGCUCGUUUGGCAGCAAGGAGGGGUAUAUAAGGUACAUUGAUGACGUCUUCAUCCUGUGGACGGGUGGCAAGGAGAAGUUCGAUGCCUUCAUCAAGCAUAUCAACAACAGGAAAUCACCAAUAAAAGUUACAGCUCAACCCCGGUCCACCGCCGCAAUCGGGAGACCACGGAAGCCCCUGGGUGCCACAAUAGUGUGAAUGCAUGAGGUUGCCAGGGCGACGCUGGGAUCCAACAACGCGGUGCGGGAGCAUGUGACCGAGACGCACACAUGUCACACACACCGGGACGGAAGCAAACGGCUCCCCCGGCCACUGCUGUUCUUCCCGCUGGCGGGUCCUCCUCACUAUAAAGUUUGUUAUUUCUUGUUGCCAUGGUGAUGGUCACUCCCCCCGCCUGCAGCCUCUGUGACGGAUCCUGGGCGCCGGCGGCUGCCUAUGACGUCACGUGGAUUCCGGAGUGGAUGGCGGCGGCGAUUUCCCCUGUGCACACGUGCUGAGUACACAGUUAGGUAUAUAUAUGUUAUGUAUGUUCAUUAUGUUUUAAAGUCUUGAUAAAGGAGGACAGCUCCGAAACGUUGGCUAUUGA